rnacentral:lncRNA from 1 species
UUCUAGUUGUGGAGCGACUUGGCAACAGACAGAGCCACCAGCUCUGUGUAAGUCAGCAUGAUCUGCUGCAGAAGGCUGAGGGAUGUGACAAAAGCAGACCUGAUUCGAGCUGGGUUUACAGCACAAGAUGGUCUAAUUUAAUGGCAGGACAUGAUGAUCCACUGCCUCUUCUCAAGAGGUUGCACCCACUGUCUUCCAAGGCUGACGGCGGGAACUAUUCCCUGUGCUUUCGGCAUGGGAAAAGGGUGGUUUGUUUUCCUUCCUCCCCACCCCAUUUUUUUUCUUUUUUGAUAAAAGAGUGAAAAUAAUGAGUGAAGUUACAAUUAUACGGAGGUUGCUGAACUGACGUGAACUGACGUUUUUCUGAUUGCAGGAUGUCUGUGGGUUCCCAGCAAUUUCAAUCUCAGUGACUCACUGUAUAUUCCCUGCAUUACAAUACCUACAUCUACCAGACCCAAACAGAGAACUCCUUAUGCUGGUUUAUGGUUUUCAUACUUGUAAAUGUAUUAAUUGUUUUUCAUUCAUG